UCUCUCCUCCGUCGAUCUACGCCGAAUCGAACGGCCAGGGCUUUGAUGGAGAGUUUGGCGGGUCCGAUGAUCCGAUUUUGCCGCCUCCGUCGGAGAUGCUGCCUGAGGAGGGCUUUGCUCUCAGAGAAUGGAGGAGGAGGAAGAGUUCCGUGACAGAAAAGUAUUAUAUUGAAGAGAGGUUGUACAUGGAAAGAAAUAAUAAACUUUUCAACUAUCCGAGGCUAUUUGGAAUAGCUCCAUGCACAUUAUUUUUGGCUACAGAUGAUACUUCAAGACAAGUAAGUUCUCUAAGUUGUUUGUUUUAACUUUUAUGUAAAUGAUGAUGUGUAAAUGAAAUUUUAACUAAAAUUGACGCUUUUUUGUUCAAAUUUGUAUAGUUAUGCAAAAUGAUGUGCUACAAGGUUGAACUCAAUAAAGUUGGGCAAACCUAAACCCAACCCGAAUAAAUCUGAACCUACUUCAAACCCGAACCUGACUAAACUGUAUGAACCCAAACCCAACUCGAAUUGUAAAGGUUGGGUUAGGGUUGGUUUGACCAUGCAACACGCCCAACCCGCCCAGUUCCACACCUAUCUUUAUGCACUCUCUCUUAUCUUUCUCUCUGACCUUCGCCUGCGACCCUCUAUUUGGAUCUAUGUAUCAAUCUAAUUAAAUUAGUAUUAAUGUUCAAAUCCACAGGGAGUUGUUGUAGGGUUUUUUUUUUUCUUUUCUUUUUAAUUAUUAAAAUUUUAAAAUCAUUUUAAAUCUCAUAUUAAACAAGUUUUUAAAUCUUAAAUAAAAUUGUUUUUAAAAAAUAUUUUUAAAAAUUAUGAAAACAUUUAAGUACGAUACCAAACACGCCGUAAACACACUCUAAAUAAGAUUAACAAUGCAACAAAUGAGCAAUUUGAGUAAAUUUAUUGACAAUGCAAGAGGUGUGCUUAACGUUUAUUUUUGCAGGCUGUGUACGAAAAGGCUUGCGCGCGCGCGCACACACAUACAUAUACAUAUACAUAUACAUAUACUUAUACAUAUAUAUAUAUAUAUAUAUGAUUAACAAUGCAAGAGGUGUGCUUAACGUUUAUUUUUGCAGACUGUGUACGAAAAGGCUUGCAUACACACACACACACACACACACACACACACAUACAUAUACAUAUACGUAUAUAUUUUUGCAGGCUGUGUACGAAAAGGCUUGCAUACAUAUAUAUAUAUAGACACACACGCGCACACACACACACAUAUACAUAUAUAUAUGAUACCAAAUUUAAAUUGACAAAUUCUAACUUAAAAUUGCAUAAUUUAAUUAUAAGAACAUGAACCAACCUUAAAUUGACAAAUUCCAAAUUUCCAAGCAAACAUAAAGAUGAUCUUACAAAUUAAGAUCAUUCACAAAGCAUACAAAAUGAAAUUGCAGAAGGGAAUAUCCACUUCACUUGUUUCAGUCCUCCUCGUCAUCAUUCAAAAGAUCACCGUGCAAAAUUCAAGCAUUGUCAUGGGAUUUUAUUUUAAGGGAACUUUAACGAAAAACUCUCGGUACUGUUCACUUUAACGAAAAACCACAUUUUUACACUAAAAAAUCAAUCAUGGUACUAUUUACUUUACCCUUUAUUUUAUCAUUAUCAUUAAAACUCAAAGUUUUCAAACUCAUUUUUACACUAAUGAUAACAGGCUAUUAUUGCUCGCUACUUGGGCAUUGAUCACGGAUUCUCUCUAGGCAUCCUAGUUCCAGUCAGCACAUCCCUUAUUAGACUCAAUUCAGCUACCACAUUGCUCAUGUAUUUUCGCUCUCUCGGCAUCACUACAGAACAAGCAACUCCUACUCUUACAAUGGAAGUCAAGCACUCCACAACCCUUUUUCUUCAAUCAUUUGGCGCAUGAUUCCCCUUGUUACUUCUGGGAUUAGUACUGCUGCUACUUUCUUCUAUUUGUACAAGUACUGGAUCACAUAUUUCUCCCACACGUUCUGGUAGAGCCAUCAUAACAAAAUUGUGUAGGUCCAUACCACCGUUAAACAUGUUAUCUGUUGGCCUCUUGCCAGUUAACAUCUCCAACAACAGCAUUCCGUAGCUAUACACGUCGCCAUAUGUUGACACCUCGCCUCCCAUUCCAUACUCUUAAGUUAUAUGCACAAAAACAUAGCUUUGUUCUUAUGUGUGACUUCAAAAAACUCAUGCUAUAUACAAAACCAUGGUGCAAGCGCAAAUAAAAUAUAUAUAAAAGAAAAUUUACCUGGGGGAGUACAGCCUAUGGUGCCUUUUAUGACAUUGGAACUGCUUUCGUGCAAAGGAGAUGGGCAAGAAGCAUCCUGGAGUGAACUAUUGGCACGUGGAAGCAAUUGUGCAAAUAAUCCAGAGCGCACGCUACAUCGAUGGCAAUGUGAGAUUCAGAUUCUUUGGCAGAUUGGCUGGCCUAUCUACUCCUUGAGUUGAUAUGUGCAGCCACUCAUCUA